rnacentral:rRNA from 1 species
AUUGAACGCUGGCGGCAGGCCUAACACAUGCAAGUCGAGCGGAUGAAGGGAGCUUGCUCCUGGAUUCAGCGGCGGACGGGUGAGUAAUGCCUAGGAAUCUGCCUGGUAGUGGGGGAUAACGUCCGGAAACGGGCGCUAAUACCGCAUACGUCCUGAGGGAGAAAGUGGGGGAUCUUCGGACCUCACGCUAUCCGAUGAGUCUAGGUCGGAUUAGCUAGUUGGUGGGGUAAAGGCCUACCAAGGCGACGAUCCGUAACUGGUCUGAGAGGAUGAUCAGUCACACUGGAACUGAGACACGGUCCAGACUCCUACGGGAGGCAGCAGUGGGGAAUAUUGGACAGUGGGCGAAAGCCUGAUCCAGCCAUGCCGCGUGUGUGGAGAAGGUCUUCGGAUUGUAAAGCACGUUAAGUUGGGAGGAAGGGCAGUAAGUUAAUACCUUGCUGUUUUGACGUUACCAACAGAAUAAGCACCGGCUAACUUCGUG